rnacentral:pre_miRNA from 1 species
CGCUGUGAAUGGCACUGUAUGAAUUCACUGCACUCUGAUCGCUUCCAGUGGAUUUUCCAGUGCCAUUUACAACG